rnacentral:rRNA from 1 species
CGCGUAGGUGGUAGUGUAAGUCUGGGGUGGAAUCCCAGGGCUCAACCCUGGAACUGCCUUGGAAACUGCAUUGCUUGAGUCAGUGAGGGGAGGGUAGAAUUCCUGGUGUAGCGGUGAAAUGCGUAGAUAUCAGGAGGAAGGCCUGUGGCGAAGGCGGCCCUCUGGCGCUGGACUGACACUGAGGCGCGAAAGCGUGGGGAGCAAACAGGAUUAGAUACCCUGGUAGUCCACGCCCUAAACGGUGGGCACUAGGUGUAGGGCUCGUAAGGGUUCUGUGCCGAAGGGAAACCAUUAAGUGCCCCGCCUGGGGAGUACGGCCGCAAGGUAGAA